ensembl:ncRNA T07F10.11 ncRNA
ACAAAUCUUAUUCGAAUGCUUUCUCCUUUUGUUCUUUUUUGUACGUGUUUAUCAGCUAUCCGUUAGCAUAUGUGACGUGAUAAGAAGAGAAAAGUGAUGAAAGACCGGGUCGGAAUCAAGUUUAGCCCUCCGCCCUCCGUGCCAUCAACCAAGAAGCUAGAGGAAAGCGCAACACUACGAAGCUGUGAU